GAAAAAACAAAGCAGGAUGGCUGGGCUGUAGGGAUCUGCAGAUGCUGUUUUGUGAUCGUGGAAGACGUUUGGAAGGGUGAGGAGUGGGGCAGUCACCCGGGCAGGAGCACUGAGGGCGAGAUCUCAUUGGCGCUUCUCUCCAUUUUGGAAGGCCACCUUGUGCUGUAGAGCAAGGCUCAGCCCUCCACUUCAAGGAAUCAACUCUUCUGCUUCAAUUGACAUUUAGUGGGUGUUGCAAAUGCAACUUAACUUUGACUCUGACUUUUCCUCUGAAAAAUGGCUGUGGCUUUCAAUCUGUGGGAAGUCCGUCUUAGUCAGAAUCGAAGCUAUUUUCAGCAUAGAGUGUACCUAGGUCUGGGCUUAUACAAAGGUGCCUUUGUAGUGCAUUCUCCUGGAAACUCCUGGGACAGAAUUCAUCCAGGAAAAGAGAACCCAGGCCCCAUGAGUGGCCCACAGCAGGUGUCUUGGAGUCAUAAUCUAGCAACCUGCCUCUCAGGGCCCAUCUCUCAGAUUUCCUUCUGGUUCAGCCACGGGGACGCCUGAAAGUCUGUUCAAGAGCAGCUUAUCCAGAAUCUAGGUGAGACCUAGAAGCCCACGUCACAGCAGCAUUGGAACCCACAUUGUAGAAUGUCACCCCAGGAGAAACAGAGGGUUCUCCCCAGUGACAGAGAAGGUGGAGUGCUUUGGUGCCACUUUGGGCAGUUUGGGGCAGCUUUGGCAGCCUGUGGCUUCAGUGGCAGCAGCCACCGGGGAGGGUGGCAUUGGCAAUAGCAGGAGGUCAGACACACAGUGGCUUUAUGGAACCCUGUGUGGCUUGAUCAUACCUUUUCAAUCUGUUGAUGCACUUUCAUGGGCAUGAGCAACUUCUGCUGUAGUUCUUUCUAGAAAUCCAGGGCUAUAGAGGAAAAAAUGGUGUACCCCCAGGCUAGCUGAGAGGACAGUCUCCCGAGUACAUACCAGAUACCUCCAAAGGACUCCCAGAAACUGUUGGGGGGACUUUGAAGAUGGAGAGGGCUAAGGGGCCUGCAAUAGCAGGCUGGAAAAAAUUACGGAUAUUGUGUGUGAACCUCUUUCCCUCAGGCCAGUGCUUCCUGAGAGACUAGGCUUACACACAGAUUAAGAACAGGUGAGGUUUUCUUUUUCCACUUUUUCACAGCAUCCCUGGCAUUCCAUUUGGUAAUGAGCACAAGCUGCAGCAGCAAUGACGGAAUGGUCUUCUGACAUCAUCCCUGCCCAUUUAUUGGUUUGACACUUGUUCGGCUCAAUGCAGCCUGUUGAGGCCUCUGCAGAGUCAGUCUGUUAGAGCCUGUCAGCAUGAGGGGAUGUGUGCUUCCAGAGCUGAUAGUACAAACAGGAAAUGUUGGAUUGAGUUUUGUUAGAAGCCUCAAAGCUGAGAACAGUACAACGGUUGCCCAGGACAGCCUCAUCUGGAGCAAGGGGCUAGACUCCCCACUUACAGAACAUGCUCAUGAAUUGUGAAGCUUGUCCUGCCAGCUUCAGCCCAAGAGCCGUGCCUAGGCUAUAGAAGAAGAGAUGAAAGAGGUUAAUAGAAAACUUAACUCAAUCUGGAUGAAACAAGUGGAAUUUGUUGCCUCUUAGCCAAUAAAAUGGAAGUCCAAAGGUAUUUAUGGAGCAUUGUUUUAUGGUGAUGAAUAGGACAGGGAAAGCCUCUGUUUUCAUGGUGCUCAUACGUUCAAGGAAGAGAGUCACCAAAUUCUGCCUGCAGAGCUUACAGCCUUGUGCCUUCCACUCAGGAGGUGUUCAAUCAACAGUUGUUAAACGAGGGAUGAUGAUCUCAUAUAGACCUACAGAAUCUCAGAGCUGAGGAUUAUCAACCACAUUAUACAGAAAGGUCGAGUCACUUGACUAAGGAGGACGAUGAGCCAAGAGCGCAGUUGGAGUUCAGUCAGAUGGAGCAUUCCUGGUGCUGCCUCCUUGCGUGAAAGAUAUUGUCAUGAGAAAGUCACAUGCAAAUGAAGGAGGCUGUAAUUAGGAGAGGAAAAAUAACAUCACCAUGGGAGACGUUGGCUGAGAGGUUCAGGAAGAUUUGUGCACUGAACAAAGGUUGCAGUCUCUCUGUAUGGAAGACAUCAGGAACUAUUCCUCUCAUGACUUUAUUAAAUUGGCCUGAAUUAUCAGCAACUGUGAUCCCUCAGUCCAGGAGAAGAAAGCUUCUUAAAGAGCAGCCCUAUAGAGAGGCCCAAGCAGCAAGGAGCUGAUAUCUCCAGCCAACAGCCAACAAGGACCUGUGGCCUGUCUGCAGUCAUGAGCUCCCUAUGUCCUGGCUCUUUCCCAAGAUGAGCUCCAGGCAAGAUGGAACCGAAGAGGGAGAAGAGCAGACAGUCAUAUGAAGAUGGAGACAGCGAUUGGAGUGAUGCAGACACAAGCCCAGGAACGCCAAGAAUUUCCUCGGAGCCACCAGGAGCUGGAAGCGGCAAGGAGGAAUUCUCCCCUGGAGACAGAGGGAGCAGGACCCUGCUGACACCUUGAUUUUGGACUUUUGACCUCCAGAACAGUGAGAGAAUGAUUUUCUGCUGUUCCAAGCCACCAGAUUUGUGGUAAUUUGUUACGGCAGCCCAAGGAAGCUAAUAUAGAUAAUGAGCAUGAAAUACUUUUGACAUUAAAAUAAGAAAGCAAGGCGGAUGCAAAGUGGCUACAGAGGACUUUCUAAUAGUAGCUUUUCUUGUUCUAAUGGGAGCCAGCAGCCUUUUCCUCUGUCUCCAGGGACCAAGCUGUCUUGACCUUCUUAGCAGAUUUGCUAAUCCCUCCACCUGUUCUCUUUGCUAAUAUAGCUGUUCUUUCUGUCUCACCAGUGUACGCCCGGAACACUGACAGAUUUCAGAAUCACUGUCUCUUGAUACUGAUCAUGCAAUAAAAAUGGCAAGCUGAUUAGUCAGCCGGAGAGGAGAAGGCUUUUUCCUAUUAUAAGCAUGAUCUAAUGCUGUAAUCACCUAGCCCGCUGCCGGCUGCCAAGUGCUUGCGGUCAAGUCGAGGCCCCACAACAGGUGACCCCUGUUAAAAGGCGCCCCGCUACAUGGUUUCAG
rnacentral:lncRNA from 1 species